rnacentral:tRNA from 1 species
AAGUUUUAAGUUAAUUAAACAAACUAGUAGCCUUCAAAGUUAAAAAUACAAAGUUAAACUUUGU